AAGCUGGAAUCGCUAGUAAUCGCGAAUCAGCAUGUCGCGGUGAAUACGUUCCCGGGUCUUGUACACACCGCCCGUCACACCAUGGGAGUUGGCAACGCCCGAAGCCAGUGACCCAACCGAGAGGAGGGAGCUGUCGAAGGCGGGGCCGGUAACUGGGGUGAAGUCGUAACAAGGUAAC
rnacentral:rRNA from 1 species